UCCUGUGUCACCUAUGCCUGUAACAACACCCAUUUCUCCAUUGCAAUGGCAACUGAACGAGAUAUGAGCUUACUAUACUGUUUGGGGUUUUUUGGUUGUCAGUAAAUUUUAUUUUUUUCUGUGCGUAAUUUGAAGAUAACUGUAAAGUUUAUUUUAAGCUUUGCUUACGAACAAAGGUGUUUAGUUUACCUUAUAAGCGACGUGUAGAACAAUCACACCUCUUGCAUUUUCAUAAUCAGCUAUUCGUGACAUUGACAAUAUAUGCCUUUCAACAAUAUUCCAGAACAAUGUACUUACUUCAACACUUCAUGACAGUCAUGUUCAGGAGGUUAAUAGACUUAAUGACGCCAGAAAAAAAUGUUUAUCCCUGCCACACUUUUUGUGUGUCUGGUCCAAAUGAAAAGCCUGUAUUCAGUGGUUGUUGCUGUAUAUCAUAUUUGUUUUUCGUUUCUUGUUUUGUUCUUAAAAAAGUUCGUUAUUUUUCUCGUUUGAUUUUUUUACAUUUUUCAUUUUGGUGCCUUUUAUACCCAACUAUGCGUUAUGGAUUUUUCUCAUUGUUAAAGGCCGUACGAUGGCCUAUAGUUGUUAACUUAUAUGUAAUUUGGUCUCUAGUGGAUAAUUUUCAAAUAGGCAAUCAUACCAGUACUUUUAUAAGUUUAAGCCCUUUCUAUAACUUCAAUACUUGGUGAUAGUGUCGGAAAUCGAACAUGUGAGAUCAUCCCGAUUUCAUAGUUCCUGCAGUUUGAGAAUUGAUUGUACAUGUUUAUUUUGCAACUUUUUGUGCAUCUAAACUCAUAAUUGUGGCACAUAAGUAGUACUGGCGCAUUUUGAUCUGUAGAGAAGCUAGAUACCUCUCGUAAAACGAGUAUCUUACUUUUAGCGUGUGUAAAAUGCAGCGAGUUCUAUUUCAGUCAGUGUGACUGUGCAUGUACGUGAGAUCGAUUCUUGUAUUCCAAAAUUUCUGUAUCAAAUUAAUCUACCAGUCAAAAUUUUACACCUUAACAAGUAUAUGGUUUUAAAGGUUAACUCUAAAUGUACAAUAAAUAUAUACAAGCAAUUGUAAAAACGACUUGCCUUGUACCCAGACUACCCAGACUUUGAAACCAAAUUUUCGAAAUAUUUUUA
rnacentral:lncRNA from 1 species